CCCAGCCCAAAACAGAGGGAAGUGGCCUCGGGUCCCGAGGACCGCCGCUCCACGUCCCCCGCCGCCCGCCCGAGGGGGGCAGGGUCAAAGGCCGCGGGCAGGCGAGCAGCGAGCAGAUUGGCUGGCGGACGAGCGCGCAGGCGCUGGGGUGGGCCCGGUGCCCGCCGCGGUCGCGGCCGCGGGGCCUUGAAUCCCUCAGCUACUCACCAGGUGCUGGGAAUCCGGCCACCGGCAGGCACUCAGCCGCCAGAGCCGUUGAAGUUGGGAGGAGAGACAGCGUCCCCGGCCUACCGGCUACGACGCCAACCAGCCCCGCCUUCCAGAAGGCGCGCGCAGAGCGUUCCGGGAGCCCUGAGGGGCGGGGCCGGGCCCGCUGAGGGGGCCGGGCCCGCUGAGGGGCGGGGCUCUGGUUUCCCGGCACCGGCCCUACGUGUCUGCGAGGGUCAGGAGGGGAGUGGAGGGGGAGAGUCUUCCGUUGCCUUCGUACGGAUGGAGAAAAGAGGCGGAGUGGCGUCGGGCUGGCCUACCCUUCCUCUUUCUGCAAGUGGAACUAGAAUGAGGCAUGGAAGUAAGAGCCAAGGAUUGAACAAGAGUGGCCCUUUUAGAGGCAAUGACAAGGAGAAGCCAGAGAGAAUCAAGAGUCCUUGUGCAAUUAGAAUUAACAUCAGAAGAGAAAUGAGAGAAAAGAGUCAAAGAUGAUGCCAAGUUUUCUAUGCCAGCUAAAAGCAGAACAAACUUGAGAAUGUGCAGGACCUAUAUGAAGAAAGCUAUAUUUUACUGAGGUACGUGAAAAAAGAGAUAAAGGGAGGUUCAUGCCUUGUUUUUAGGUGGGAAAUGUUAAUACUUAAAAACUUCAAUUUCUCCAGCUGAAUCGACAUAUUCAUUAUUUCUGCAAUCAAAAUUCCAGGGGUUCCAUUUCACAACUUGAUGAAAUAAUUCAAAACUACAGUUUAGAAAAUUAAACAGUAAGAAAAAUUCCAAAGGAAGAAGAAUGACUAGAAUUAUAGAGCUACAAUAAUUGAAAUGGUAUGAUUUUGGGAAAAGAUCAGUUAGAUCAAUGAAACUGAAUAGAGAAUCUAGAAAUGGAUUCCUACAUUCCUAUUGGCACAUGAAAAAUGUGGCAUUUCUAAUCACUAGGGAAAUAAUAUAGAUUACAAGAUAAAUGAUAGUAGGUCCAUUGAAUAACCAGUUUGGCGAGAAGAAAAUGCAGUUAAGGUCUGACCUCAAGCGAAAAACAUUAUAAGCUUAAAUAUUUAAAUAUAAUUUAAAUGUAAACCAAAAAUAACCCUCAUAAAUAUAUAGGAAAAAUUAGAAAAUGUUUCAAUAAUUCAGGUGAGGAGCUAUAUAAAAAGCUUUUACAAAUCAAUAAAAUGGUAUACCAAAGUUUUUUUUAAAGUGGA
rnacentral:lncRNA from 1 species